rnacentral:rRNA from 1 species
AUGAACGCUGGCGGCGUGCCUAAUACCUGCAAGUCGAGCGAACAGACGAGGAGCUUGCUCCUCUGACGUUAGCGGCGGACGGGUGAGUAACACGUGGAUAACCUACCUAUAAGACUGGGAUAACUUCGGGAAACCGGAGCUAAUACCGGAUAAUAUAUUGAACCGCAUGGUUCAAUAGUGAAAGACGGUUUUGUUGUCACUUAUAGAUGGAUCCGCGCCGCAUUAGCUAGUUGGUAAGGUAACGGCUUACCAAGGCAACGAUGCGUAGCCGACCUGAGAGGGUGAUCGGCCACACGGGAACUGAGACACGGUCCAGACUCCUACGGGAGGCAGCAGUAGGGAAUCUUCCGCAAUGGGCGAAAGCCUGACGGAGCAACGCCGCGUGAGUGAUGAAGGUCUUCGGAUCGUAAAACUCUGUUAUUAGGGAAGAACAAAUGUGUAAGUAACUAUGCACGUCUUGACGGUACCUAAUCAGAAAGCCACGGCUAACUACGUG